rnacentral:rRNA from 1 species
CAGUAGCCGCGGUAAUACGAAGGGUGCAAGCGUUACUCGGAAUUACUGGGCGUAAAGCGUGCGUAGGUGGUUGUUUAAGUCUGCUGUGAAAGCCCUGGGCUCAACCUGGGGAUUGCAGUGGAUACUGGGCAACUAGAGUAAGGUAGAGGAUAGUGGAAUUUCCGGUGUAGCAGUGAAAUGCGUAGAGAUCGGAAGGAACAUCUGUGGCGAAGGCGACUAUCUGGGCCAUUACUAACACUGAGGCACGAAAGCGUGGGGAGCAAACAGGAUUAGAUACCCGCGUAGUCCCUGUCUCUUAUAU